AUCGACCGGCUGGAGAACAUCUCUUCAGCCCGCAAGUGGAGGCUCCGAACUCCCACCUGACGGUCCCCGGGACCGCGGGUCAACGGUCAGGCUGCGCCCCCGCGGAAUGUCGCGUCGGUGCUCCCGGUCUUUGAGGAGCCCCGCCUGUGUCCGUGAGGGGCUUUUUGU
rnacentral:ncRNA from 1 species